GCAAGUACAACGACUAGACGGCUGCGGCAUUGCUCGACGAGACGACAAGAAAGAAAUCGAGAGCAACGCGCCAGUGUGUAUAGACACGAGUCAGUGGCUAUUACCGUGAUCUUUGAUCUUAAUUCGUUUCAUCGUAGUACCGCUGUUCGGACACUGCUUCUAAUAAAGCAGUUUGUCGCUGUUCCUCCGACAGAAACUAUCCUACCGCCACACGUUAGACACUUCUAGGAAAGGAAACGAUCGUAACAUGGCUCGACUUUUCUUCUCCGUCAUCCUCUUGGUCUGCCUGUUUUACGUAUUCCAGGCGAAUCCCGUGCCAGAUGAGGCCCCACAAAUUACGGUCAGUGAGUUGGACAAUCUAACGGACCAGGUGAAAAAAGCGUGGAAUACCGCGUCCGAUACUCUACACGAGAAAGUUGGCCAAUGGAUGAACGAAACAAACUUCAGCGACACCAUCGAAAAAGCGAAGUCAUUUCUGAACCAAGCCGGCGAGAAUAUUCGUAAGGAAGCAGAGAAAAUUGGAGAAAAACUUCAUGAUUAGUAAAUUCAUCGUUCCGUGCAAAAAUAUACUACCUAUAUUAUAUUUACGUACAUAUGUACAGCAUAUGUAUAGGUAUACGCAGCUCAUGAAAUCUAUACAUAUAACUUUGGCACGCGUGAUGCGAUUUUUUUUUUUGCGUACGACAUUUUCCCAGCUACAAGCUUACUUACAGUGUAAAGAUUUUCUCGAGAUUUCGAAUAUCGAGCCAAUUCGAUGCCACACGAUUCGAUGUUGAGUUCGACUUUCUUUUUGCUCUUUAAACUCUGUUCGCGAGUAACGUUGCGUCAUUCUUGUCGCGUCUAGAGUAUGUUAUGUAUGUAAUAUGUAUGUAUGUAUAUGCCCAUACAAGCACUAGCACGUUUCUUGAAAAUAGCGUCAACUUUGACACGGACAUCGAGAUAAAAAAAUGAUACUUUACUUUAUCGGAAUAUAAAUUACACAUCGGCCGAUUAAUCGCUGACUAUCGUUACGUAAUGUAUUUGUAAGAUUUAGAAAUUAUGAAAAUAAAACACAAAAAUUAAUGCAUGUCGCCGGAUAGUUUUA